rnacentral:rRNA from 1 species
GUGGAUUAGAUACCCGGGUAGUCCUAGCCGUAAACGAUGGACACUAGGUGUUGGUGGUAUCAACCCCACCAGUGCCGAAGCUAACGCAUUAAGUGUCCCGCCUGGGGAGUACGGCCGCAAGGCUAAAACUCAAAGGAAUUGACGGGGCCCCGCACAAGCAGCGGAGCGUGGGGUUUAAUUCGAUGCAACGCGAAGAACCUUACCAGGGCUUGACAUGACCAGGAAUCCGGCGGAAACGUCGGCGCCCCGCAAGGGGCCUGGCCACAGGUGUUGCACGGCCGUCGUCAACU